rnacentral:rRNA from 1 species
AGUGAACGCUGGCGGUAGGCCUAACACAUGCAAGUCGAACGGCAGCACAGUAAGAGCUUGCUCUUACGGGUGGCGAGUGGCGGACGGGUGAGGAAUACAUCGGAAUCUACUUUUUCGUGGGGGAUAACGUAGGGAAACUUACGCUAAUACCGCAUACGACCUACGGGUGAAAGCAGGGGAUCUUCGGACCUUGCGCGAUUGAAUGAGCCGAUGUCGGAUUUGCUGGUUGGGGGGGUAAAGGCCCACCAAGGCGACGAUCCGUAGCUGGUGUGAGAGGAUGAUCAGCCACACUGGAACUGGGACACGGUCCAGACUCCUACGGGAGGCAGCAGUGGGGAAUAUUGGACAAUGGGCGCAAGCCUGAUCCAGCCAUACCGCGUGGGUGAAGAAGGCCUUCGGGUUGUAAAGCCCUUUUGUUGGGAAAGAAAAGCAGCAGGUUAAUACCCCGCUGUUCUGACGGUACCCAAAGAAUAAGCACCGGCUAACUUCGUG